CGCACUGCAUGGUAUCUGCCCUCAGCAGCUCAUUCCUGCUGGGUGUUCAAAGGACAGUGCAAUAGAAACUCAGUAUCUGGCAUCGUUGGUUUUCUUGGCUUUCGUGCAUGUUAAACCUGGUAUUUUUACUGAAACAGUA